rnacentral:lncRNA from 1 species
UGUGCGUGUGUGUGAGAGAGAGAGGCUCCCGGAUUUGGAUUGAGGGUGUGUAAUUGGAUUUUUCAUUUCACGUUCGACAUUGUUGAAUUUUUUCUGGUGGUUGAUGGAUUCGUGUAAAUUCUGUAAUUGCAGGAUUGAUUAAUUAAUUAAUAUUAAGAGUGUGUGUGAUCAGAUCAGAUGUUUGUGUGUGUGUUUUGGUGCGUGUGCUUGGGAAUUUCUGUUACAAUGUUAUUGUUGUAUAGGUGGAGGCGAUGGAGUGUGCCUACUGUGAGAGUGAGAGUGUGUGUGUGUGAGAGAGAGAAGACAGGGAUGGAGAAAUCAGACAUCGCAUUGGGCUGUGAGAAAAUGAGAAUACAAUUACUCCCUU